rnacentral:ncRNA from 1 species
AUUAAUCCAUUGAAAAAGAGGAAAAUAAUUUUUGUUGUUUACAGAGAGAAAUGAGUAGCUGAGAAAUUUUAACACAAAGAUAUUUUUGACACUUUGGAGGAAUCAGGAGGAAAUGCCUGAUCGUAUCGUCGCGUUAAGACAAGAGCGCUUACUUGAAACGUAAGAAAUAAGGUGGUACCGCGCAAUAGCGUCCUUAUA